GUGGGGAUCUUUCGCAUGGACGCAGUCUGACGAAGCAACGCCGCGUGAGUGAGGAAGGCCCUUUGGGUUGUAAAGCUCUGUUGCCGGGGAAGAAAGUUAGUGUAAGGAAAUGUGCAUUAAUUGACGGUACCCGGUGAGGAAGCACUGGCUAACUACGUGCCAGCAGCCGCGGUAAUACGUAGAGUGCAAGCGUUGUCCGGAAUCAUUGGGCUUAAAGGGUACGCAGGCGGAUAUACAAGUCAAAUGUGAAAGGUGUAGGCUUAACCUACAGACUGCGUUUGAAACUGUAUAUCUUGAGAGCAGCAGAGGAAGGCGGAAUUCCUGGUGUAGUGGUGAAAUACGUAGAUAUCAGGAAGAACACCAGUGGCGAAGGCGGUCUUCUGGGCUGCAUCUGACGCUCAUGUACGAAAGCUGGGGUAGCGAACGGGAUUAGAUACCCCGGUAGUCCCAGCUGUAAACGAUGGACACUAGGUGUUUGGAGGUUCGAAUCCUUCAGUGCCGGAGUUAACGCAUUAAGUGUCCCGCCUGGGGAAUACGGUCGCAAGACUGAAACUCAAAGGAAUUGACGGGGGCCCGCACAAGCGGUGGAGCAUGUGGUUUAAUUCGAUGCAACGCGAAGAACCUUACCGAGAAUUGACAUCCCGUGACUACCUGUGAGAGCAGGGUUUAGUGUUACACUACACGGANACAGGNGGNGCAUGGCUGNCGUCAGCUCGUGUCGNGAGAUGUNGGGUUAAGUCCC
rnacentral:rRNA from 1 species